rnacentral:rRNA from 1 species
GACGAACGCUGGCGGCGUGCUUAACACAUGCAAGUCGAGCGGUAAGGCCCUUUCGGGGGUACGACGAGCGGCGAACGGGUGAGUAACACGUGGGUGACCUGCCCUCAGCUCUGGGAUAAGCCUGGGAAACCGGGUCUAAUACUGGAUAUGACUCCAUGACGCAUGUUGUGGGGUGGAAAGCCUUGUGCGGCUGAGGAUGGGCCCGCGGCCUAUCAGCUUGUUGGU